GACGAACGCUGGCGGCGUGCUUAACACAUGCAAGUCGAACGAUGAAAGCGGAGCUUGCUCCUCUGGAUUAAUGGAGAACGGGUGAGUAACACUUGAGCAAUCUACCCCUGACUCCGAAAUAACUACGGACAACUUUAGCUAAUACGGGGUAUGCUCCAAAGAGGAAUGAUUAUCGGGGGGAAAGAAUUACGGUCAGUGAUGAGAUCGCGGCCUAUCAGCUUGUUGGUUAGGUAACGGGUGACCAAGGCGAGGACGGGUAGCAGGCCUGAGAGGGUGACCGGCCAAAUUGGGACUGAGAUACGGCCCAGCCUACUACGGGACGCAGCAGUGGGGAAUAUUGCACAAUGGGCGCAAGCCUGCUGCAGCAUCGCCGCGUGGGGGAUGACGUCAUUCGGGUUGUAAACCUCUUUUCGCAGGGCAGAAGCGAAAGUGACGGUACCUGCAGAAAAAGCGCCGGCUAACUACGUG
rnacentral:rRNA from 1 species